UACGUAGGGUGCGAGCGUUGUCCGGAAUUAUUGGGCGUAAAGGGCUCGUAGGCGGUUUGUCGCGUCGGGAGUGAAAACCCAGGGCUUAACCCUGGGCUGGCUUCCGAUACGGGCAGACUAGAGGUAUGCAGGGGAGAACGGAAUUCCUGGUGUAGCGGUGAAAUGCGCAGAUAUCAGGAGGAACACCGGUGGCGAAGGCGGGUCUCUGGGCCGAGUGACUGACGCUGAGGAGCGAAAGCGUGGGGAGCGAACAGG
rnacentral:rRNA from 1 species